UGCACGUGUAUGUGCAAGCCAUCCUAAGGUGAAACCGCGAAUGGCUCAUUAAAUCAGUUAUGGUUCAUUAGAUGAUCUCCACUGUUACACGGAUAACUGUGGUAAUUCUAGAGCUAAUACAUGCAACCGAGUCCCGACCAGAGAUGGGAGGGACGCUUUUAUUAGAUCAAAACCAAUCGGAUGCCUGUCCGCUGUGCUGGGCAACCUCACACCGGCUGGCUCCGUUUGUCUUGGUGACUCUGAAUAAGAAAUGGAUCGCAAAGUCUUGAACUGGCGACGCAUCUUUCAAAUGUCUGCCUUAUCAACUGUCGAUGGUAGGUUCCUUGCCUACCAUGGUUGUAACGGGUAACGGGGAAUCAGGGUUCGAUUCCGGAGAGGGAGCCUGAGAAACGGCUACCACAUCCAAGGAAGGCAGCAGGCGCGCAAAUUACCCACUCCCGGCAUGGGGAGGUAGUGACGAAAAAUAACGAUGCGGGACUCAUCCGAGGCCCCGUAAUCGGAAUGAGAACACUUUAAAUCCUUUAACGAGUAUCAAUUGGAGGGCAAGUCUGGUGCCAGCAGCCGCGGUAAUUCCAGCUCCAAUAGCGUAUAUUAAAGUUGUUGCGGUUAAAAAGCUCGUAGUUGAAUUUGUGUCCCACGCUGUCGGUUCAGGGCCUGUCCCUGUUUAACUGGCAUGUUUCGUGCGGACGUC
rnacentral:rRNA from 1 species